rnacentral:tRNA from 1 species
GCCAACUUAGCUCAGUUGGUAGAGCAGCUGAUUCGUAAUCAGCAGGUCGUAGGUUCGAAUCCUAUAGUUGGCUCCA